UUUUUCAUUCUUUCUUCUUCAACCGUGGAAAGAACAGAAAAUAGCAGCCAUGGAUGAGCUCCAUUCAGCCAAGCUUUUAUGGCUUAUAUAGAUGAUGAAAAUUGAGACUUGGACCUAGAACGGAAAGAAAUCGAUUUAUGGACGAGUAUGUCCUUUUCACAUUUGUGGUAUCGAGGCAAUCCAAGGAAAGAGUUAAUGAUGGUCUCAAUGAGGUAAGUCAUUGGUGAGUAUGCACUCGAGUUAUGUUACGAGUUGUGCAAGUAUGUAUACUAAUCCUAUGAGAAUGCCUUGAUAUGUGAUGAUCUAUGAUACAUAAUAUGUAUUCUUACCAUGAUGGAUAAAAUGGUGUUGUAUUAAUAUUAUGAACAAUGAUCAUGAAUGAGUAAUUUAGCCUUGACAGAUUUGAGUUACUGCAGUAGUGUAACUUUGAAAAUACACUAAAAAUAGUGGAAAAUGAGUUAGAGGUAGAAUAAAAUAUGGGAUUAAAGCUUAAUGAGUCUAUUUUCACAUGAAAGAAACAGAGGA